AGUUAUUUACACUAUUAAACAACUUUAAUUAUUUAAUAAUUAUUAAUAGUUAGGUAUAUAUAUGAUAUUGUUCACUUAUAUUUCAAUCGGCGUCCUUAGAGGUCGUGUCUUAGUAAAUAAACUAUUAAUUAAUAUAUCUAUAUUAACAUGAAGCUAUUGUUUAUAAUAACGUUUUUCUUGCUCGCGCUGACGCUUGUCCCAGCCCGGAGGCAAUACUAUCCUAGAAAUGGUAUAACUGGUUUCGGGAACGCAGUGCUACCAGGAUAUCACAUGAUUUCGAUAUACAACGUAAAUAAGCCUAGACCUAGACCGAAGGGAAGGAGGUUUAUGUACUGAAAAAAAAAGAUUAAAAUAAAAAUAGGUACCUAUUUUUGAACUUAUUGCCGGAAAAGGAGGAGGUAAACAAUAGAUUGUUGUAUUUUGAUGUUAUACCUGUAGUCUAUGUAAUGACAAAUAAAUAAAUGCCUUCUAUGUAUUA